GUGCAGCAGCCGCGGUAAUACGGAGGGGGUUAGCGUUGUUCGGAAUUACUGGGCGUAAAGCGCACGUAGGCGGAUUAGUAAGUUAGGGGUGAAAUCCCGGGGCUCAACCCCGGAACUGCCUCUAAUACUGCUAGUCUUGAGUUCGAGAGAGGUGAGUGGAAUUCCGAGUGUAGAGGUGAAAUUCGUAGAUAUUCGGAGGAACACCAGUGGCGAAGGCGGCUUUCUGGACCGAUACUGACGCUGAGACGCGAAAGCGUGGGGAGCAAACAGGAUUAGAUA
rnacentral:rRNA from 1 species